GACGAACGCUGGCGGCGUGCCUAAUACAUGCAAGUCGAACGCUUCUUUCCUCCCGAGUGCUUGCACUCAAUUGGAAAGAGGAGUGGCGGACGGGUGAGUAACACGUGGGUAACCUACCCAUCAGAGGGGGAUAACACUUGGAAACAGGUGCUAAUACCGCAUAACAGUUUAUGCCGCAUGGCAUAAGAGUGAAAGGCGCUUUCGGGUGUCGCUGAUGGAUGGACCCGCGGUGCAUUAGCUAGUUGGUGAGGUAACGGCUCACCAAGGCGACGAUGCAUAGCCGAACGCGGAGGGUGAUAGGCCACACUGGGAGUGAGACACGGCCCAGACUCCUACGGGAGGCAGCAGUAGGGAAUCUUCGGCAAUGGACGGAAGUCUGACCGAGCAACGCCGAGUGAGUGAAGAAGGUGUUCGGAUCGUAAAACUCUGUUGUUAGAGAAGAACAAGGACGUUAGUGACUGAACGUCCCCUGACGGUAUCUAACCAGAAAGCCACGGCUAACUACGUG
rnacentral:rRNA from 1 species